UACGGGGGGAGCAAGCGUUGUUCGGAUUUACUGGGCGUAAAGGGCGCGUAGGCGGCGCAACAAGUCACUUGUGAAAUCUCCGGGCUUAACCCGGAGCGGCCAAGUGAUACUGUCGUGCUAGAGUGCGGAAGGGGCUACUGGAAUUCUCGGUGUAGCGGUGAAAUGCGUAGAUAUCGUAAGGAACGCCAGUGGCGAAAGCGAGUCUCUGGGCAGCAUCUGACACUGAGGCACGAAGGCCAGGGGAGCAAACGGG
rnacentral:rRNA from 1 species